GCAGAUGGACCCAGUGAUGCGACAUACACCCAGAUUGAACUGAGAGACUUCGGGAAACACUACUCAACUCCAAUGUAUGCUAACAUCAAUUAUCAGAAAAAGGAUGAAGGAAGGCAAAGUCCUGCAGCAACAGAUGCAGAUGCAGUUUAUUCUGAAAUCAGAACAUGAGCAGCUUUGGGUAACAACUAUAACAUGUAGCUUCACAUUUUACUGGUUUAUUAUGGGAUUUAAGUUAAUCUCAUAAGAACAUUCUUAAAUCCUUUAUUUUCUUACAUAUUUCUUUAUAUUUUGUGUUGAACAUUUUUGAAAAGUCUGUAACUGUUAGAAAACAAACAUUUUACAAAAAAAUCCUGUUAGCAAUGCUGAAAAAAAUGUUUUUCAGAAAUUAUUAGUCAUGUGUACAGGAGCUAUGAUGAAGUUUGAAUACAUUAAAUAUUUUUGUAUAUUUUUAAUGGUUUAUUUU